rnacentral:rRNA from 1 species
AGCAGUAGCCGCGGUAAUACGAAGGGUGCAAGCGUUAAUCGGAAUUACUGGGCGUAAAGCGUGCGUAGGCGGUUUGUUAAGUCUGUUGUGAAAUCCCCGGGCUCAACCUGGGAAUGGCAAUGGAUACUGGCAAGCUAGAGCGUGUCAGAGGAUGGUGGAAUUCCCGGUGUAGCGGUGAAAUGCGUAGAGAUCGGGAGGAACAUCAGUGGCGAAGGCGGCCAUCUGGGACAACACUGACGCUGAGGCACGAAAGCGUGGGGAGCAAACAGGAUUAGAUACCCCCGUAGUCCCUGUCUCUUAUAC